rnacentral:rRNA from 1 species
GGGGGGGGCAAGCGUUUGUUCGGAAUUACUGGGCGUAAAGAGCUCGUAGGCGGCCUGUUUAGUCGGACGUGAAAUCCCUCGGCUCAACCGAGGAACUGCGUCCGAUACUGGUAGGCUUGAAUCCGGGAGAGGGAUGUGGAAUUCCAGGUGUAGCGGUGAAAUGCGUAGAUAUCUGGAGGAACACCGGUGGCGAAGGCGGCAUCCUGGACCGGCAUUGACGCUGAGGAGCGAAAGCCAGGGUAGCAAACGGGAUUAGAUACCCCGGGUAGUCCUGGCCCUAAACGAUGAAUGCUUGGUGUGGCGGGUAUCGAUCCCCUGCCGUGCCGAAGCUAACGCAUUAAGCAUUCCGCCUGGGGGAGUACGGUCGCAAGGCUG